UGACGGGUUAUCUUGAUAAUUUUCCUAGAUGUGGAGUGUGUUAGCACUUCAUCAUAAACUCUAUGCAGGAAGAUACAGUGUGCAACUCAUUUUGUAUUUCCUCAGUUCUAGAACAUUCUUGAAUACACUGGCUAAAUUGGAUUGACAUGUACUGGAGUGCUCAUAUUUCUUUAAGUUCAUAGGUUCUCUGCAAGCCUAGAUAGAGAGGGGCUUCUUGCAAAGAGAUCUGUGGAGGCCUCAACCAUGUCAGUUCUCCAUGGAGAAGAUUAGCUUCAAGUGCAGAAGGAGUUAAAGACCCAACUCCUGAUACUCACACUCCAGAGCUGGUGAAAUACAUCCACCUGACACACCAGUGUCAUGAAGCAUCUCUUGGCCUUUCUGCUGGGGUUUCUGAGCACUUAGGUUUACUGUAAGUUGAACUUCCUCAGAUUCAGGAAUGUGAAAGGAUUUUGCAUCUGUAGCACCUGGAGGACAGUGGGGACAGAAGCUCCAUCUUGCAGAUGUUCACCCUUCUGUGAUUGUUGGGAGCAUUUUCUGGGCUUUGUAGGUGUUGAGUGACAUUGGCUGUGAUUUUUUCCCUUCAUUCUCAGGUGUGAGAGGGAUUCAGGUGGAGCAGAGUCCAUCAGCCCUGGUCCUCCAGGAGGGAGCCAGCUCUAUACUAUGGUGUGAUUUUUCCAUCAAAGUGAACAAUGUGCUGCAGUUUCAUCAAGAUCCUGGGGGAUGUCUCUUCAACCUGUUCUACUUUCCUUUAGGGACAAAGCAGAAUGGCGAUUAAAGGCCAUAAGAGUCACUAAAGAACACCACAGCUCAUUGUCUAUUUCUUCUUCCCAGAACAAAGACUCACCUGCUUAUUUUUGUGCUGUGGGGCGCAGAGCUCCCAAGGAUACAAACCCUCAGCUGGGCUUAGCCUUGUGCCAGCCACAAGCACAUCAAAGAUCCACCACAGCAGCAUCUGUACAACUUGGUGUUACUUACACUGGCAGUUUCAACAGCACAUAUUUUAGACUGUAUAGGUCUGGGACUUUGGUUUUUAAUUCCAUUUUUCAAUGUAUGCAUCCUCCUGAAAUAAAAGUUUUAAACUUG